CGGCCCAGACUCCUACGGGAGGCAGCAGUGGGGAAUAUUGGACAAUGGGCGAAAGCCUGAUCCAGCCAUGCCGCGUGUGUGAAGAAGGCCUUUUGGUUGUAAAGCACUUUAAGCGAGGAGGAGGCUACCUAGAUUAAUACUCUGGGAUAGUGGACGUUACUCGCAGAAUAAGCACCGGCUAACUCUGUGCCAGCAGCCGCGGUAAUACAGAGGGUGCAAGCGUUAAUCGGAAUUACUGGGCGUAAAGCGUGCGCAGGCGGUUUUGUAAGUCUGUC
rnacentral:rRNA from 15 species